rnacentral:rRNA from 1 species
GACGAACGCUGGCGGCGCGCUUAACACAUGCAAGUCGAACGGAAAGGCCUGCUUUCCCUUGUGGAUUGCGGGUACUCGAGUGGCGAACGGGUGAGUAACACGUGAGUGAUCUGCCCCCAACUUGGGUAUAAGCCUGGGAAACUGGGUCUAAUUCCCGAUAGGACUGCAGGGUGGUGCCUGUGGUGGAAAACGAUUUUCUAGUGGUUGGGGAUGAGCUCGCGGCCUAUCAGCUUGUUGGUGGGGUAAUGGCCUACCAAGGCGGCGACGGGUAGCCGGCCUGAGAGGGUGGACGGCCACAUUGGGACGGAGAGACGGCCCAGACUCCUACGGGAGGCAGCAGUGGGGAAUAUUGCACAAUGGGCGGAAGCCUGAUGCAGCGACGCCGCGUGGGGGAUGACGGCCUUCGGGUUGUAAACUCCUUUCGACCGCGAGGAAGCCACCUGGUUGGAAGGGUGGUGACGGUAGUGGUAGAAGAAGCACCGGCUAACUACGUG